rnacentral:rRNA from 1 species
UACGUAGGGUGCGAGCGUUAAUCGGAAUUACUGGGCGUAAAGCGUGCGCAGGCGGUUCGCUGUGUCCGAUGUGAAAGCCCCGGGCUUAACCUGGGAAUGGCAUUGGAAACUGGCGGGCUUGAGUGUGGCAGAGGGGGGUGGAAUUCCCGGUGUAGCGGUGAAAUGCGUAGAUAUUGGGAGGAACACCAGUGGCGAAGGCGGCUCACUGGACCGGUACUGACGCUGAUGCGCGAAAGCGUGGGGAGCAAACGGG